rnacentral:rRNA from 1 species
UACGUAGGGGGCAAGCGUUGUCCGGAAUUAUUGGGCGUAAAGGGCGCGUAGGCGGUUGGAUAAGUCUUGUGUGAAAUCUUCGGGCUCAACUCGAAGUCUGCACGAGAAACUAUCUGGCUUGAGUGUGGGAGAGGUGAGUGGAAUUCCUGGUGUAGCGGUGAAAUGCGUAGAUAUCAGGAGGAACACCGGUGGCGAAAGCGCUCUGCUGGACCUUAACUGACACUGAGGGACGAAAGCUAGGGGAGCGAAUGGG